rnacentral:lncRNA from 1 species
GCAUCACGGUGUAAUCACAAGCGACUGGCUAGCCCAGGCUCAAGCCGCCGUGGAGCAGCCUGACUCAUCAGUCUCUGGUCUCGGGGCUGCGAAGUCGUUUAAUGUGAUUGAUGAGUUCAACGGAUGGAGAAAACAGCCUGAUCUGGCGUCUCGGGGCUGCGAAGUCGUUUAAUGUGAUUGAUGAGUUCAACGGAUGGAGAAAACAGCCUGAUCUGGCUGAAGCCGUGGCAGCUAUCCGAGCUCUGGCUGCUGUUAUUCGUGCCAGCGAGGCUACCACCAUGAUGGAGCUUGAGAUUGAG